GUGAAAUUGGUCUUUGGGGUGUUGGUUCAGAAGCAUUCAUUGGGUUACCUACUGCCCCGGGGAAAAAUAAAGCUAAAGCUAAAGCUGUACCCGCAUUUGAGAAUAAAGAUGAUGACGAUUCUGAUGAUGAUGAAGAGGAUGAGGAAGGGGAUGAUGAAGAUGAUGAUGGUGGUGAGGAGGAGGAUGCCUCGGGUGAUGAGGGUGACAACAAAAAGGAAGUAGAGGAUGUGGGUGAUGGUGAAGAUGCUCCUGCUAAUGGUGAAGGAGGGAGUGAAGACGAUGAAGAAGACGAUGAUGAUGAAGGUGGUGAUGAUGAAGAGGAGGAUGAUGAUGGGGAAGACGACGAUGAUGAAGAAGAGGAAGAUGAGGAUGAUGAUGAGGACCCUGAGCCACCAGCCAAAAAGAGGAAGUGAACCGGAGAGAUACUCCAACUAUGUAUGAAGUUUCUAUUUGCGGUUUGUUAGUUUCAGCUGGGUUAGAAGGGCAUAACAAUAGGGUGCAAUGUAGGAAGAGAGAGGUAAGUGCCCUGUUGUGAAUGAAACUUAAUUCUUUCUCAAGUGUUCUAAUUCUAGUCCAUCACCAUUU
rnacentral:misc_RNA from 1 species